UACGUAGGUGGCAAGCGUUGUCCGGAUUUAUUGGGUUUAAAGGGUGCGUAGGCGGUCAAGUAAGUCAGCGGUGAAAUCCGGCAGCUCAACUGUCGAUGUGCCAUUGAUACUGCAUGACUUGAGUACUGAUGAGGUAGGCGGAAUUGACGGUGUAGCGGUGAAAUGCUUAGAUAUCGUCAAGAACACCGAUAGCGAAGGCAGCUUACUAAGCAGUAACUGACGCUGAUGCACGAAAGUGUGGGGAGUCAAACAGGA
rnacentral:rRNA from 1 species